GGCCCUUCGGGGUACUCGAGUGGCGAACGGGUGAGUAACACGUGGGUGAUCUGCCCUGCACUUUGGGAUAAGCCUGGGAAACUGGGUCUAAUACCGAAUAUGACCAUGCACUUCCUGGUGUGUGGUGGAAAGCUUUUGCGGUGUGGGAUGGGCCCGCGGCCUAUCAGCUUGUUGGUGGGGUAAUGGCCUACCAAGGCGACGACGGGUAGCCGGCCUGAGAGGGUGACCGGCCACACUGGGACUGAGAUACGGCCCAGACUCCUACGGGAGGCAGCAGUGGGGAAUAUUGCACAAUGGGCGCAAGCCUGAUGCAGCGACGCCGCGUGAGGGAUGACGGCCUUCGGGUUGUAAACCUCUUUCAGCACAGACGAAGCGCAAGUGACGGUAUGUGCAGAAGAAGGACCGGCCAACUACGUGCCAGCAGCCGCGGUAAUACGUAGGGUCCGAGCGUUGUCCGGAAUUACUGGGCGUAAAGAGCUCGUAGGUGGUUUGUCGCGUUGUUCGUGAAAACUCACAGCUUAACUGUGGGCGUGCGGGCGAUACGGGCAGACUUGAGUACUGCAGGGGAGACUGGAAUUCCUGGUGUAGCGGUGGAAUGCGCAGAUAUCAGGAGGAACACCGGUGGCGAAGGCGGGUCUCUGGGCAGUAACUGACGCUGAGGAGCGAAAGCGUGGGGAGCGAACAGGAUUAGAUACCCUGGUAGUCCACGCCGUAAACGGUGGGUACUAGGUGUGGGUUUCCUUCCUUGGGAUCCGUGCCGUAGCUAACGCAUUAAGUACCCCGCCUGGGGAGUACGGCCGCAAGGCUAAAACUCAAAGAAAUUGACGGGGGCCCGCACAAGCGGCGGAGCAUGUGGAUUAAUUCGAUGCAACGCGAAGAACCUUACCUGGGUUUGACAUGCACAGGACGACGGUAGAGAUAUCGUUUCCCUUGUGGUCUGUGUGCAGUGGUGCAUGGCUGUCGUCAGCUCGUG
rnacentral:rRNA from 1 species